GCCGCGGUAAUACGUAGGUGGCGAGCGUUGUCCGGAUUUACUGGGCGUAAAGGGAACGCAGGCGGUCUUUUAAGUCUGAUGUGAAAGCCUUCGGCUCAACCGGGGAGGGUCAUUGGAAACUGGGAGACUUGAGUGCAGAAGAGGGGAGUGAAAUUCCAUGUGUAGCGGUGAAAUGCGUAGAUAUAUGGAGGAACACCAGUGGCGAAGGCGGCUCUCUGGUCUGUAACUGACGCUGAGGCUCGAAAGCGUGGGGAGCA
rnacentral:rRNA from 1 species